rnacentral:rRNA from 1 species
GACGAACGCUGGCGGUGUGCUUAACACAUGCAAGUCGAACGGAAAGGCCCUGCUUUUGUGGUGUGCUCGAGUGGCGAACGGGUGAGUAACACGUGAGUAACCUGCCCUUGACUUUGGGAUAACUUCAGGAAACUGGGGCUAAUACCGGAUAGGAGCUCCUGCUGCAUGGUGGGGGUUGGAAAGUUUCGGCGGUUGGGGAUGGACUCGCGGCUUAUCAGCUUGUUGGUGGGGUAGUGGCUUACCAAGGCUUUGACGGGUAGCCGGCCUGAGAGGGUGACCGGCCACAUUGGGACUGAGAUACGGCCCAGACUCCUACGGGAGGCAGCAGUGGGGAAUAUUGCACAAUGGGCGGAAGCCUGAUGCAGCAACGCCGCGUGCGGGAUGACGGCCUUCGGGUUGUAAACCGCUUUCGCCUGUGACGAAGCGUGAGUGACGGUAAUGGGUAAAGAAGCACCGGCUAACUACGUG